GCGCCCAUAGCUCAACUGGAUAGAGUGCUUGACUACGGAUCAAGAGGUUGUGGGUUCGACUCCUGCUGGGCGCGCCA
rnacentral:tRNA from 1 species